AUUGAACGCUGGCGGCAGGCUUAACACAUGCAAGUCGAGCGGGGGAAGGUAGCUUGCUACCGGACCUAGCGGCGGACGGGUGAGUAAUGCUUAGGAAUCUGCCUAUUAGUGGGGGACAACAUCUCGAAAGGGAUGCUAAUACCGCAUACGUCCUACGGGAGAAAGCAGGGGAUCUUCGGACCUUGCGCUAAUAGAUGAGCCUAAGUCGGAUUAGCUAGUUGGUGGGGUAAAGGCCUACCAAGGCGACGAUCUGUAGCGGGUCUGAGAGGAUGAUCCGCCACACUGGGACUGAGACACGGCCCAGACUCCUACGGGAGGCAGCAGUGGGGAAUAUUGGACAAUGGGCGCAAGCCUGAUCCAGCCAUGCCGCGUGUGUGAAGAAGGCCUUAUGGUUGUAAAGCACUUUAAGCGAGGAGGAGGCUACUUUAGUUAAUACCUAGAGAUAGUGGACGUUACUCGCAGAAUAAGCACCGGCUAACUCUGUGCCAGCCGCCGCAGUAA
rnacentral:rRNA from 1 species